UUGCUCCUGAAUUCAGCGGCGGACGGGUGAGUAAUCCCUAGGAAUCUGCCUGGUAGUGGGGGACAACGUUUCGAAAGGAACGCUAAUACCGCAUACGUCCUACGGGAGAAAGCAGGGGACCUUCGGGCCUUGCGCUAUCAGAUGAGCCUAGGUCGGAUUAGCUAGUUGGUGAGGUAAUGGCUCACCAAGGCGACGAUCCGUAACUGGUCUGAGAGGAUGAUCAGUCACACUGGAAUUGAGACACGGUCCAGACUCCUACGGGAGGCAGCAGUGGGGAAUAUUGGACAAUGGGCGAAAGCCUGAUCCAGCCAUGCCGCG
rnacentral:rRNA from 1 species